rnacentral:rRNA from 1 species
GACGAACGCUGGCGGCGUGCUUAACACAUGCAAGUCGAACGGAAAGGCCCUGCUUUUGUGGGGUGCUCGAGUGGCGAACGGGUGAGUAACACGUGAGUAACCUGCCCUUGACUUUGGGAUAACUUCAGGAAACUGGGGCUAAUACCGGAUAGGAGCUCCUGCUGCAUGGUGGGGGUUGGAAAGUUUCGGCGGUUGGGGAUGGACUCGCGGCUUAUCAGCUUGUUGGUGGGGUAGUGGCUUACCAAGGCUUUGACGGGUAGCCGGCCUGAGAGGGUGACCGGCCACAUUGGGACUGAGAUACGGCCCAGACUCCUACGGGAGGCAGCAGUGGGGAAUAUUGAACAAUGGGCGGAAGCCUGAUGCAGCAACGCCGCGUGCGGGAUGACGGCCUUCGGGUUGUAAACCGCUUUCGCCUGUUACGAAGCGUGAGUGACGGUAAUGGGUAAAGAAGCACCGGCUAACUACGUG